UACGUAGGGUGCGAGCGUUAAUCGGAAUUACUGGGCGUAAAGCGUGCGCAGGCGGUUUUGUAAGCCAGAUGUGAAAGCCCCGGGCUUAACCUGGGAAUGGCAUUUGGGACUGCAAGGCUUGAGUGCGGCAGAGGAGACUGGAAUUCCUGGUGUAGCAGUGAAAUGCGUAGAUAUCAGGAGGAAUACCGAUGGCGAAGGCAGGUCUCUGGACAGUUCCUGACACUGAGGCACGAAGGCCAGGGGAGCAAACGGG
rnacentral:rRNA from 1 species